rnacentral:misc_RNA from 1 species
AAUUACUACGAUAUGGCGGCUAAGGAUAAAUUUUAUCGUAUCCUUUACUAAAAUAAGAUAUAAAACGUGCCAGUUUGAAUAUGCAGACUCCUCAAAAAUUAAAGUCCCAAAAACCAUCAAACAUCACGAAAAUCCAUUCUGAACAAUUAUCAAAGCUCAAGCAAAAACAUCACCACGAAUAUGAUCUUCUAGAGGACAUUCGAUCAUUCAGCAAACAAAGGUCGAUAAUAGAAAAGGAGUAUGCUCAGGCUCUGACUAAAUUGGCUCAUGGUUAUCUCCAAAAAUCAAAAUUUCCACCGCCUCCAGAUAUAAAAGAAAAUCCUGAGUUCAGGAAAGGACGAACUAUAUCUCAAGUAUGGAAAACGGUGCUAGAAGUUACGGAAGCUGUUGGAAAGACGAGGCAACAGGCUGCCGAAUCCUAUUUAAAUCAGGUUUCCGAACCGAUUAAACCUAUCAAGACAGCUAAAGCGCAUACGGCAAAGAAGGUUCUUGACCAGUUGGCAACUCUACAAAAAGAAUUACAAGGAACUGUAGGUGAAUUGAGCAAGAGUCACAAGUCUUAUAGUGAUGAAGAGCAUUUGGCUCACGACGCUAGAACAAAAUAUGAAGAGGCCAAUAGAAAAGUACAGAAGAGAUCGACUGGUCUAUUUACGUCGAUGGCGCAACUUCAACAAAAAAGUGCCAAGCUAAAUGCUCGGAGGGAAACUUGCGAUCAAAAGGCAAACAUUGUUCGAAAUGACUAUAUAUUGAAUAUAGCUGCUUCAAAUGCUCACCAAAAGCGUUACUUUUACGUUGAAUUACCGCAAUUAAUGCAAGAAUUGGAUGGAGAAGUUUAUGAUAAAGCUCGCGAAUUCAUGACUAUUAUUUCGAUGUCUGAAUUAGAAUGCUGCGGCCUUACUCAGGAAUGUUUCACCAAGAUAAUGGCUGACUCCUGCAUGAUUAGUAGAGACUUUAAUCUCAAUUGUUUCCUGCACGAAAAUCCAACCUAUCAAGAGUCUAUUGUUUACCCAUUCGACGCCCAAGACGGAGAUAAAAUUACCCAUAUAGUUACUGAACAAACGUCUCUUUAUGACCUUGAAAAAGAUGGGAAAAAUGCCGCCUUACUAGUCGCUCAAUCGGAUAGAACUAUUCGAGAACAAGAACAACUACUCGAGCAACUAAAGCAUUUACCUCCAGUUGAUCCGAAAAAGUUUGAUCAUAAAAAGAGCGAAAAGAAAAAGGAUAAGAAAAAGGAGGAAAGAGAGGAUAAAGAGAAUGAUGAAGACCUCGAUCCGGAAACGAGGAUGGAUUAUUGUAGAAAUAAUAUCCGUAAAGCCCAAACAAAUAAGUUGAAAGCGGAAGCGAAAUUAGAAUUGUUGAGAGAUGCUGGAAUUUCAGUGGAUGACUAUAUCGCAAAGGCUCAAGCCGACAUAGAAUCAGCUGAGAGGGAAGCUCGUGAAAGAGCAGCUGCAGCCGAGACUGUUUCUCGUUUGAAUAGUGUAAGGUCUGAUAAAGAGAGUAUAUGUGAAGAUUCUACCGCCUCUUAUACUGAAGACUGCACGACUGACUAUUCCAAUGCCCGUGCCUCAGUUUCUAGUCAAUUUCAUCCUGGAAGAAGUUAUCCACUAACUGCCGUAGCUUUGUACAAUUUUGCAGCUUCGACUCCUGAUGAAUUGUCUAUGCAGCAGGGGGAAACUCUGGAGAUAACUGCGGAUGGGGAUGGAGAAGGGUGGGUCAAGGCUAGAAAUUACGAGAAUAAAAUUGGCUUUGUGCCAGAGAAUCAUUUGGAUAUUCACGGACAAGAGCCUCAAUCAGCGUCAAGUUACGACAAUACUUCUGGAUCACAUUGCGAUGACUACUCUAGUCCACCAGGAAGUGCUACUCGGCAAGGUUAUGCAGCAGAUGAGACUCCUUAUUCACCGUACGUUGAUCAGGAUAGUAAUACAUGGGCAAGGGUAUUAUAUGACUACGAAGCGGUCAGCUCAGAAGAACUAACUUUAAAGGAAGGCGAUAUCGUUCAGAUAACGAGCAAGCAACCAAGAGGACUAGAAGAUGGAUGGUGGCUCGGGGUCAUUAACGAUAGAAGUGGUAUGGUGCCAUCGAUGAUAAUGGCCGAACUAUCUUCUGACGAAUUAUUGGUCUACGCCGAGGUGUCAAUGGCAUCCAAAUUAGAAAGACAGCCAUCGAACGAUAUGCCACCAGUUCAUAGUGCAUACGAAAAUCUAGGUCAGUAAUUUUUAUUGAUUUGCAUUUAAUUAAGGAAAUGUACCUUUUGGUGUCAUUAACAAUUUAAGCACCUUAUGUAUACAGUAUAUAAUUAUGUGUAUUGAUUAGGUAUUCAUGUAUUAAUAUCGUCUUUAGUGACGUUUUAUUACUUUAAUAUUGUUGUGCACCAAUUAUGAAUAUUUUUUGAUGGGGUGGGGAGCAGAAAGUGAAUCUACCGAAGAGAAUCCAAUGUUGCCGGAAGUUAGCGACGAUUCAGGUGAAAGAGCUAAGUUCAUUUACGUAACUAAUAAUCUAAUAUUUAGUUAAAACAGAACACAAAAUUUAGUUUUCUAAUUAUUUUCACUUAAAAAUAGUUAAACUAUACAAAAUUUAAGAUUAUAUUAUAAUCAAAGCAAAGAAAAUCUUUCACACAUUUCUUCCUCCCUCAUUUAUAUUUCCUACCCCCAAAUACUAAAAUCAAUUUCUUGAUGUUAAUGUUGAGCAUCGUUUCGUAUCGUAAUAGUAUGCAUUUUUUUUCUUUUGUGAUGUGCGGUUAGGUGUUGCGACCACGAACGGUUUAAGCAAUUUGGAAUCUCCUUCUGUGGUUAACGAACCGACACAGGUUAGUUAAUUAACUAAACAAAUCAAAGUAAGUUAAAGAAGACAACCGAAGUUAGAAUUUAAAGAGAAAAUGAAUACAAAUAACAUAAAUAAUCAGCUUUUAUAUCAAUUUUUUAAAUAUAUACAUUAAUAUCUUUUCUAUAUUAUUAUUAUAUAUAUAUAUUCAUAUCCAUAUAUUUUGUUUCUUGACCAAUAUUUCUUUCAUUUUUUUCUCCUCCCUUAAUAAUUGGAAACUGUAUAGGCCGACCUGAGAUGAGAAGAAAAGCCCAUUCUAUGUCUAGAAAAUUAUGGAAAAAAGGAUCUAGAAAAAUUCGACUCUACCAAUCGUUUUCUUAAAUAAAACAAACAACAAAAAACAAGCAAAACAAACAAAUAGACAAAUCAAAUCUUCAGACUGCAGAAACACUACACAAAAAAUAAAUGAUAAUUACAAUAAUUCACCGUUACUAGUGCCGUAAAAAAAAGAAAAAAUCAAAACAAAACAAAAUGGAAAAUUAUGACGUAAUUCUAUUAUCAUCGAAAUUAGAGUAAAUUUUAAAAUUCAAAAAGUCUUAGAUUUAGUUGUGUUAGUUGUAGAAAGAAACAUAAUAAUAAUAAUAAUAAUAAUAAUUAAAAUGCACAUAUUUCUGAUUUAUAUAUUUAAUGAAAAAUAUCUACAAUACUUAUUAAAUUAUAUGAAUUAUAAUAAUUUAAUAAAUAUUAAAAUAUGCUUAUGUUACGUCAUGUUUGUUUAUUUAUUUAUUUAAAUAUUGUAUGUACUUUGAAAAACAAUAAGGAACAAAUUUUUCUUGUUUCCUUUUCUGCAUAAUUUCGUAGCAAUAACGUGCAAAUAUCUAUGCACCUCGUGUAAUAAAAACAAUAUUGUAUAUAAAUAAAGUUAUAUCUGUGUGUUAUACCGUAUUCGUAUAGCAUUUAGAAUAUAUCUAUAUGUAAAACAUAAUGUAUACUGUAUGUAAUACUUAUAGAUAUUGAAUACACAUUUAAAGAAAUUAAUUAAAAAGUUAUUCUACGCAUUUAUAUUAAAAAAAAUAUGAAAUAGAGCAGUAGAUUUACUUCGUAUAUAGUAUCCCAUUAAAGUUGAACUGACUGUAGAAAGGCCCCAUUUCUUUCUUAUUUUUUUCAUUAUACUCUUGAAUUGGGUAGGUGAAAUUUUAGUUGAAUAUAAAAUGUACAAUCUUUGAAUAUAUUUCAAUGUGCUUUCUCC